ACGAACGCUGGCGGCGUGCUUAACACAUGCAAGUCGAGCGGAAAGGCCCUGCUUUUGUGGGGUGCUCGAGUGGCGAACGGGUGAGUAACACGUGAGUAACCUGCCCUUGACUUUGGGAUAACUUCAGGAAACUGGGGCUAAUACCGGAUAGGAGCUCCUGCUGCAUGGUGGGGGUUGGAAAGUUUCGGCGGUUGGGGAUGGACUCGCGGCUUAUCAGCUUGUUGGUGGGGUAGUGGCUUACCAAGGCUUUGACGGGUAGCCGGCCUGAGAGGGUGACCGGCCACAUUGGGACUGAGAUACGGCCCAGACUCCUACGGGAGGCAGCAGUGGGGAAUAUUGCACAAUGGGCGGAAGCCUGAUGCAGCAAUGCCGCGUGCGGGAUGACGGCCUUCGGGUUGUAAACCGCUUUCGCCUGUGACGAAGCGUGAGUGACGGUAAUGGGUAAAGAAGCACCGGCUAACUACGUG
rnacentral:rRNA from 1 species